UAUCAACUUUCGAUGGUAGUUUACAUGACUACCAUGGUUGUAACGGGUAACGGAGAAUAAGGGUUCGACUCCGGAGAGGGAGCCUGAGAAACGGCUACCACAUCCAAGGAAGGCAGCAGGCGCGCAAAUUACCCACUCUCAGCUCGAGGAGGUAGUGACGAAAAAUAACGAGACGGUUCUCUAUGAGGUCCGUCAUCGGAAUGGGUACAAUUUAAACCCUUUAACGAGGAUCUAUUGGAGGGCAAGUCUGGUGCCAGCAGCCGCGGUAAUUCCAGCUCCAAUAGCGUAUAUUAAAGUUGUUGCGGUUAAAAAGCUCGUAGUUGGAUCUGCGGUCUCGCGUCCCGGUGAGCCUCCUGGGCUCUACUGGGCUCGCAGGCCUACCUCGCUGGUUUUCCCCUGGUCCUCUUCACUGAGUGCCUUGGGUGACCAGCAAGUUUACUUUGAAAAAAUUAGAGUGCUCAAAGCAGGCGCGUAGCCUGAAUAGUGGUGCAUGGAAUAAUGGAAUAGGACCUUGGUUCUAUUUUGUUGGUUUUCGGAACGCGAGGUAAUGAUUAAGAGGGACAGACGGGGGCAUUCGUAUUGCUGCGUUAGAGGUGAAAUUCUUGGAUCGCAGCAAGACGGACAACUGCGAAAGCAU
rnacentral:rRNA from 1 species